GAUGAACGCUGGCGGCGUGCCUAAUACAUGCAAGUCGAGCGAACGGACGAGAAGCUUGCUUCUCUGAUGUUAGCGGCGGACGGGUGAGUAACACGUGGAUAACCUACCUAUAAGACUGGGAUAACUUCGGGAAACCGGAGCUAAUACCGGAUAAUAUUUUGAACCGCAUGGUUCAAAAGUGAAAGACGGUCUUACUGUCACUUAUAGAUGGAUCCGCGCUGCAUUAGCUAGUUGGUAAGGUAACGGCUUACCAAGGCAACGAUGCAUAGCCGACCUGAGAGGGUGAUCGGCCACACUGGAACUGAGACACGGUCCAGACUCCUACGGGAGGCAGCAGUAGGGAAUCUUCCGCAAUGGGCGAAAGCCUGACGGAGCAACGCCGCGUGAGUGAUGAAGGUCUUCGGAUCGUAAAACUCUGUUAUUAGGGAAGAACAUAUGUGUAAGUAACUGUGCACAUCUUGACGGUACCUACUCAGAAAGCCACGGCUAACUACGUG
rnacentral:rRNA from 1 species